rnacentral:rRNA from 1 species
GACGAACCGUGCGAACGUUAUUCGGAAUCACUGGGCUUAAAGCGCGUGUAGGCGGGACGGCACGUCGGUCGCUGAAAUCCCCCGGCUCAACCGGGGAACGGGCGCCGAUACGACCGCCCUGGAGGGACGUAGGGGGACCUGGAACUUCCGGUGGAGCGGUGAAAUGCGUUGAGAUCGGAAGGAACGCCAGUGGCGAAAGCGAGGUACUGGACGUUUUCUGACGCUGAGACGCGAAAGACAGGGGAGCAAACGGG